rnacentral:rRNA from 1 species
GAUGAACGCUGGCGGCGUGCCUAAUACAUGCCAGUCGAGCGGACGGACGAGAAGCUUGCUUCUCUGAUGUUAGCGGCGGACGGGUGAGUAACACGUGGAUAACCUCCCUAUAAGACUGGGAUAACUUCGGGAAACCGGAGCUAAUACCGGAUGAUAUUUUGAACCGCAUGGUUCGAUGGUGAAAGACGGUCUUGCUGUCACUUCUAGAUGGAUCCGCGCUGCAUUAGCUAGUUGUUAAGGUUACGGCUUACCAAGGCAACGAUGCAUAGCCGACCUGAGAGAGGGGUAGGCGACACGGGAGCGGAGACGCGGUCCUUGCGCCUGCGGGAGGCAGCAGUAGGGAAUCGUCCGCAGUGGGCGAGAGCCUGGCGGAGCAGCCGCGAGUGAGAGAUGAAGGUCUUCGGAUCGUAAAACUCUGUUAUGAGUGAUGAACAGAUGUGGAAGGAAACGAGCAGAGCGUGACGGUACCUAAUCAGAAAGCCACGGCUAACUACGUG